UGUACUUUGGUGCUCCUGUGUUGGAUGCAUAGAUAUUUAUAAGUGUUAUGUCUUCUUGAUGGAAUGUCCCUUUGAUCAUUGUAUACUGCCCCUCUUUGUCUUUCUUUUCCUGUCUUAUCUUGAAGUCUGCUUUGUCUGAUAUAAGUAUUGCAAUAUCUGCUUUCUUUGGAGGUUUGCCAUUAGCUUGGAGUAUCGUCUUCCAUCCCCUCACUCUGAGCCUCUGUUUGUCAUUGGAGCUGAGAUGUGUUUCCUGGAGGCAGCAUAUUCUUGGGUCUUGUUCUUUAAUCCAUCUCACCACUCUGUGUCUUUUUUUAUUAGAGAAUUCGAUCCAUUUAUGUUUAGGGUGAGUAUCGAUAUAUGAGGGCUCAAUGCUGCCAUUUUAUCACUUGUUUUCAGUUCUUCUGCAUUUCUUUUGUUUCUUGUCCUGUGUAUUUUAGUCUACCAAUAAAGUUAUGUAGUUUUUUUACGCUGUGUUUCUUUGUUUUCUCCUUAUUAUUUGUGUCUCUGUUCUGCUUUUCUGUUUAGUGGUUACCCUGAGGUUUGUAUUCAAAAUCUCGUGGAUAAGAUAGUCCCUUUUCUGAUGGCCUCUAAUUACCUUAGACUAAACAGAUUCAGUCCCUUUCCUCUUCCCCUCCUAAGGUGUUUUUCUCACAUCUUAUUCCAUUUUGUGUUAUGAGAUUAUGGUUAAAAUGACAAGAUUAUCUUUGUUUUUGAUGUUUUCCUUCCCUUUGUCUUUAAUGCUAUAUUUGAGUAUUUGCUAUCCUGCUCUGAUUCUGUCUACCUACUUAACUCCUUACUCUGUGCUUUGUACCCCUUUCUCCCUUUUCUUUUCAGGUACGAUGGCCUUCUUGCACAUUUCUUGUAGUAGGGGUCUUUUGGCUAUGAACUCCCUUAGUUUAUGUUUGUCUAGGAAAGUUUUUAUUUCUCCAUCAUAUCUGAAGGAUAGAAUAUUCUUGGAUGCAAGUUUUUGUCCUUCAAAGAUUUGAAUAUGUCAUUCCAGUGUCUCCUAGCCUUUAAGGUUUCUGCAGAGAAAUCCGCUGAAAACCUGAUGGGAGUUCCUUUGUGGGUUAUUUUCUUUUGCCUUGCUGCCCUUACUUUUCUUUCUUUGUUGCUCAGUUUUGCCAGUUUCACUACUAUAUGUCUUGCAGUAAGUCCUCUUACAUUGACAUAUUUAGGAGAUCUGGCAGCCUCUUCCACAUGGAUUUCUUUCCCCAGGUUUGGGAAGUUCUCUGCUAUUAUUUCUUUGAACAAGCUUUCUACUGCAUUCUCCUUCUUGAAUACCUAUAAUUCUUAUGUUGCAUUUCCAAAUUGAGUCGGAUAUUUCUCAAAGACUUUCUUCAUUGCUUUUUAGUCUUAGUUCUCUCUCUUCCUCUAUCUGGAGCGUUUUGACAUGUCUAUCUUUGAUUACGCUGAUAUGCUUCUCUAUGGUGUCUGCUCAAGCACUCAGGGAACCCAUAUUUUGUUUUAUUUCUUCCAUUGUGUCUUUCAUCUCUGAUAUUUCUGAUUGAUUCUUCUUUAGAGUUUCAAUCUCUUUUGUGAAGUAGCUUCUGAACUUGUUGAAUUGUUUCUCUACAUUUUCUUUUACCUCAUGAGUUUUUUGAUGAUCACUCUUCUGAAUUCUUUGUCAUUUAGAUUACAUAUUUCCACAUCCUCAGGGCUGAUUUCUGGGUACUUGUCAUUUUCUCUCUAGUCUGGAAAUCUAAUAUAAUGGUUGCUAUUGCUAGAGGGCGUGGCUCUGUUUUUUCACAUCCUGGCAUUAUUAGGCCACAGUUGCCACCUAUUGCCACUGGGUGGGGAUCAAGAGCCAUGUAUUCUGAGCCCUCUGUCUUCAGUGGAAACCCCAGGGGCUGGAGCCAUGCUGAGCAGAGUGGGAGAAUAAAGGGUUGAAAUACAGAAAUAUGAUGGUGCCAUAGAAGAGGAAAACCACAGCCAGGUGGGAGCCACAGGUGGAGAAGGCUUUCCACCUUCCCUUUGUGGAUGGGACUCUCCAGACAGCACAAGUGAUAAGGAUAUAUGAUACCAGGAUGCAAACAAAUGGAGCAAUCAUUAUCAGCCCUGCUUCAAUAAGAAUCAUCAUCUCAUUGAGAAUUCACUAUCCUUCAUGGAGACAGACACCGUCAAGGACAAGCACCUGGACUAUCUCCUCCCGCAAAGAGAUAUGGGCUGGUGGGAAAGCUGCUGACCAGCAAGGUCACAAUCUCCCUCCUCUCUGCAAGUGUCUCAAGGCCAGAGACAGGCUGGUGGGAAAGCUCCGACCAGCAAGGCCAUAUGCUCCCCCUCCCCUACCUAAAGCCCCAAAUAAAAACCCUUCCUUUUAGCUUUACGGGGAGUUUGGGAUUUGAGCGUUAGCUGCCCUCUCUCCUUGCUCAGUGCUGUACAAAAAAUAAAAUUCCUACUUUCUUCCACCACACCCGGUGUCAGAGAUUGGCUUGCUGCGCAACGGGUGAGCAAACUCACUUCAGGUUCGGUAACAAUAAUGGUGUGG
ensembl:lncRNA